rnacentral:rRNA from 1 species
UACAGAGGUCUCAAGCGUUUGUUCGGAUUCAUUGGGCGUAAAGCGCACGUAGGCGGAUAUUUAAGUCAGGGGUGAAAUCCCAGAGCUCAACUCUGGAACUGCCUUUUGAUACUGGGGUAUCUUGAGUAUGGAAGAGGUGAGUGGAAUUCCGAGUGUAGAGGUGAAAUUCGUAGAUAUUUCGGAGGAACACCAGUGGCGAAGGCGGCUCACUGGUCCAUUACUGACGCUGAGGUGCGAAAGCGUGGGGAGCAAACAGG